CAGUAGCCGCGGUAAUACGUAGGGUGCGAGCGUUAAUCGGAAUUACUGGGCGUAAAGCGUGCGCAGGCGGUUCGUUAAGACAGAUGUGAAAUCCCCGGGCUUAACCUGGGAACUGCACUUGUGACUGGCGAGCUAGAGUAUGGCAGAGGGGGGUAGAAUUCCACGUGUAGCAGUGAAAUGCGUAGAGAUGUGGAGGAAUACCGAUGGCGAAGGCAGCCCCCUGGGCCAAUACUGACGCUCAUGCACGAAAGCGUGGGGAGCAAACAGGAUUAGAUACCCGCGUAGUCCCUGUCUCUUAUAC
rnacentral:rRNA from 1 species